CCUAUGCAACUGACGGCUGCUCAUUUAGGAUCCCUAGGUCUGAAAAUUCUAGUGCAAUGGUGGGGUCCACCCAUUUUAAAACCCUAGGACCAUGUCACCAUUUUUUUACAAUUUGGGCUUUUGUCUAAUCUACCAAAAUUAGUCCAAAAUACAAAACUUAGUUUAAAAAGCCUAAUCUACAAAAUUAAAAUUUUACUAAUCCUCUAGUGUCUUUGUGGAGAGUCUUCACUUAAUUGGUGCCC
rnacentral:lncRNA from 1 species